rnacentral:rRNA from 1 species
CAAGCUACUAAGAGCGCUUGGUGGAUGCCUUGGCGCCGGAAGUCGAAGAAGGGCGUGGCAGGCUACGAAAUGCUGCGGUUAGCUGCGAGCAAGCGUUUGAUCCGCGGAUGCCCGAAUGGGGAAACCCGGCAGGUGUUAUGACCUGUCACUUCAGUCUGAAGGAUCUAUGAUCUGUAGUAGGGCUGAAGAGAUAACCAGGGGAACUGAAUCAUCUAAGUACCCUGAGGAAGAUAAAGCAAAAGCGAUUCCCUUAGUAGCGGCGAGCGAAAGGGGAAUAGCCCAAACCGUACUCUCGUGAUAGGCCCAGGCCGUUGUGAGUACGGGGUUGUAGGAACGGACUGUCCUUUUCUGGGAAAGGUCGAGUAGUUACAAAGUCAAAUGUCAGUCGAAGGCGACUGGAAAGUCCCGCCAGAGACGGUGAAAGCCCGGUAGGCGAAGGCGUUUGGUCUACUGUCCGAUUUCCUGAGUACCACGGGACACGUGAAACCCUGUGGGAAGCUGGGAGGACCAUCUCCCAAGGCUAAAUACUAACCGGCGACCGAUAGUGCACAAGUAUCGUGAGAGAAAGGUGAAAAGUACCCCGUGAGGGGAGUGAAAUAGAACCUGAAACCAUGCGCUUACAAGCAGUCAGAGCACUAUGUCAUUUAGGAAGGAUGGGUUAAAUCAAGAAUAUGGGGCUUGCGCAAGCAAGAAACAUAGGACGGGCUUACCUCAAAAUUCCAUAACGGAUGAUAUGUGUGAUGGCGUGCCUUUUGAAGAAUGAACCGGCGAGUUAAUUGUCACGGCAAGGUUAAGGGCCUCUGGUCCGGAGCCGGAGCGAAAGCGAGUCUUAAUAGGGCGAAUAGUCGUAGCGAUUAGACCCGAAACCAGGUGAGCUAACCAUGGCCAGUGGGAAGCGGAAGUAACAUUCCGUGGACGCGCGAACACACUAAUGUUGCAAAAUUAGGUGAUGAGCUGUGGUUAGAGGUGAAACGCCAAUCGAACCUGGAUAUAGCUGGUUCUCCCCGAAAUAACUUUAGGGUUAGCGUCCGGGUUGAGUCUGUUGGAGGUAGAGCACUGAAUGGGCUAGGGGGCUAUUUGCUUACCGAACCUUAUCAAACUCCGAAUGCCAUCAGAUAUACCGGGCAGUUAGACUGCGAAGGCUAAUCUCCGUAGUCAAGAGGGAAACAACCCAGAUCGCCAGCUAAGGCCCCUAAAUAUUGGCUAAGUGGAAAACGAUGUGGGAUUGCUGAGACAAUCAGGAUGUUGGCUUAGAAGCAGCCAUCAUUGAAAGAGUGCGUAACAGCUCACUGGUCAAGCGAUCCUGCGCGGAAGAUGUAACGGGGCUCAAGCCAAUUGCCGAAGCUGCGAGAGCCGAGUUUGAAUUAUCAAAUUUGGACGGUAGGGGAGCGUUCCAUGGGCGCUGAAGGUCGAGCGAGAGCACGGCUGGAGCGUAUGGAAGUGAGAAUGCCGGUAUGAGUAGCGUAAUGCACGUGAGAAACGUGCACACCGUAUGUCUAAGGUUUCCUGAGCAAGGUUAAUCCGCUCAGGGUUAGUCGGGCCUAAGUCGAGGCCGACAGGCGUAGACGAUGGACAACAGGUUUAUAUUCCUGUACCACCGUUUUCCGGUAAACAAAGGAGUGACCCGGCGGGGUAGGUUGAGCGUGUUGAUGGCUAUACACGUCUAAGCAUGUAAGUUUGCUGCAUAGGAAAAUCCGUGUGGCUACAACUGAGAUGUUAUGGAGAGGCCAAGCGUAAGCGCGGUCGAUUCGAUUAAGCCUUGCCGGCUAGAAAAACUUCGUUGUUUGGAAUCCGGUGUCCGUACCGCAAACCGACACUGGUAGACGGGGGUGAAAGCCCCAAGGUGAUCGAGAUACCCUCUGCUAAGGAACUCGGCAAAUUAACCCCGUAACUUCGGGAUAAGGGGUGCCCUUGUAGGGUGAUUGGUCCUUGCGACCAGGAGCCUGAAAGGGCCGCAGUGCACAGGCUCAGGCGACUGUUUAUCAAAAACACAGGUCUCUGCUAAACCGUAAGGUGAUGUAUAGGGGCUGACUCCUGCCCAGUGCCAGAAGGUUAAGGGGAAAGGUCUAACCGCUUUGAACCGAAGCCCUGGUGAACGGCGGCCGUAACUCUAACGGUCCUAAGGUAGCGAAAUUCCUUGUCGGGUAAGUUCCGACCCGCACGAAUGGAGCAACGAUCUGAGCACUGUCUCGGCAGAGGACUCGGCGAAAUUGAAUUGUGCGUGAAGAUGCGCACUACCCGCGAUAGGACAAAAAGACCCCGGGAGCUUUACUACAUCCUGGGACUGGUCCUGGGGUGUACCUGUGUAGCAUAGGUGGGAGACUUUGAAGCUGGAGCGCUAGUUUCAGUGGAGUCGUCGGUGAAAUACCACCCUGGUGCAUUCUAAGACCUAACCCCUGACCGUAAUCCGGCAGGAAGACCCUCUCAGGGGGGUAGUUUGACUGGGGCGGUCGCCUCCUAAAUAGUAACGGAGGCGCCCAAAGGUUCCCUCAGGCUGGAUGGAAAUCAGCCGCAGAGUGCAAAAGCAUAAGGGAGCUUGACUGCGAGACAUACACGUCGAGCAGAGGCGAAAGCCGGGUUUAGCGACCCUGUGGUUCCGAAUGGAAGGGCCACAGCUAACGGCUAUAAGUUACCCCGGGGAUAACAGGCUUAUAGCGCCCAAUAGUCCACAUAGACGGCGCUGUUUGGCACCUCGAUGUCGGCUCGUCGCAUCCUGGGGCUGUAGCAGGUCCCAAGGGUUUGGCUGUUCGCCAAUUAAAGCGGCACGCGAGCUGGGUUCAGAACGUCGUGAGACAGUUCGGUCCCUAUCUUCUGUGGGCGUUGGAGAGUUGAGAGGAGUUGUCCUUAGUACGAGAGGACCGGGAUGAACGCACCUCUGGUGUUCCUGUUGUCGCGCCAGCGGCACCGCAGGGUAGCUAUGUUCGGAACGGAUAACCGCUGAAAGCAUCUAAGUGGGAAGCC